rfam:Chlorocebus sabaeus isolate 1994-021 chromosome X, whole genome shotgun sequence.
CCUAGACGUGGCAGUGCACAUCUGUAGUCCCAGCUACUCGGGAGGCUGAGACAGGAGGAUCACUUGAGCUCAGGAGUUCAAGGCUGCAGUGAGCUAUGAUUAUGCCACUGCAUUCCAGCCUGGGCAACAAAGCGAGACUCUGUCUCUA